rnacentral:hammerhead_ribozyme from 1 species
AUCCAACUGACAAGUCCCAAAUAGGACAAAACUUACGUUUUGGAU